UCCGAGUUGACCCCGGCAGUCUCCUACGAGUCCCCGGCAUUACCCGCUGGCAACAUAGGACAAGGGUUGCGCUCGUUGCGGGACUUAACCCAACAUCUCACGACACGCCUGUCACGGACAUGUCAAGCCCAGGUAAGGUUCUUCGCGUUGCGUCGAAUUAAACCACAUGCUCCGCUGCUUGUGCGGGCCCCCGUCAAUUCCUUUGAGUUUUAGCCUUGCGGCCGUACUCCCCAGGCGGAGUGCUUAAUGCGUUAGCUGCGGCACAGAGCGGGUUGAAGACCGCCCCACACCUAGCACUCAACGUUUACGGCUGGGACUAC
rnacentral:misc_RNA from 1 species